UACGUAGGGUCCGAGCGUUGUUCGGAAUUACUGGGCGUAAAGAGCUCGUAGGUGGUUUGUCGCGUUGUUCGUGAAAACUCACAGCUCAACUGUGGGCGUGCGGGCGAUACGGGCAGACUAGAGUACUGCAGGGGAGACUGGAAUUCCUGGUGUAGCGGUGGAAUGCGCAGAUAUCAGGAGGAACACCGGUGGCGAAGGCGGGUCUCUGGGCAGUAACUGACGCUGAGGAGCGAAAGUGUGGGGAGCGAACAGG
rnacentral:rRNA from 1 species